GCCUUCACUAAAACACCAAUCCUCUCCCUUUCCCAAAGCCUUAACAAAUUUUACUCUUCAAUUCCGUAAUGUAGAGUUGUUUCUCAUCUUCAAGUUUUUCUAGAUUCAUCAUCUAUAUCCAUCAAGGUGUUUGUAGGUUGGAAAGAACAAAAAAGGGCAAACACAGAAUUAGAGAUGAAGCAAGAGCUAAAUCUAAGGAUGGAACCUCAAAUUGGUGAAAGAACCCAGCUAUUUAAUGGCUCCAUGUAACGGAGCUAAAAAGUUGAAAUUGGCACAAGAAAGAAUUUUGAACAAGUGAAGGCCAUAACUAAGCCGCUUCGCGGAGAAGGCUUUUUGGCAAAAUGUGCAGGAAUGCAGCAUCUCUGUGUCUUGCAGACUUGAAACCAUAAUUUUGGUCUCAUUGUUCCAGCACUAUAAAAAGACUAGUUGUUAUUAUUUUUAAUUCAGGGUUAUUAUUUAAAGUUGUUCUUGUUUUAAUUAUUUUAAUGCUUGAUCAA